UCUGAUGGCCUUGGUCACCUCUGUGACCAUUUGCAUUAAAUUAUGGAUAUUUUUUGUUGCAGUUGUCCUUUCACCAAAGUAUGAGCUGGUUAAGACUGUGCCAUGAACACACAACUGGCAGAGAAAGUGUGCAGGAGAAAUUUUGCAUUGAGAAAUUGUGGAAAAAUUGCCCCAGCAAGUCUUUUGAAAGCAAUGUCAAUCUUCUCUACUUUGAAAACAGCAGGACUUCUUAUCAGGGAAGUGUCCAUUAUGUCAGAAAAGCUACUACAAAAAGGAAGCCAGAAGAAAUGCUGGAAGAAGCUACCUGUUAUUUUAAAAUCAGCAUUGAGGAGUUCCUACUGUGCACAUGUGGAAUUAAAGCAGAAAAACUGCAAAGGACAACACAGCUGAAGACAGGUCCAGAGCAAACACUCAGUGCCAAGCAGUCACUCAAGAAACAGUUGUGGGAAACACUGAAACAAAGAGACUUUGCAGGCAAGAUUAUUGGCAUAGCCUUUGAAAAGAAGGAGCAGUGCUGGGGCGGCGCCGCGUGGAAUCGGCGUCUCCGCAUGGGUGUUAUUCUUUCCCACGGCAGGAGCAGAGCCAAAGCGAGGCAGGUGACACAACACCAAGCGGGCAGUGCCUGUGCCAGGGCUGGCAGUGGCAGCAGUAGCAACAGCGCAGGUGAUCUUUCCUGUGGCAGGAGCCGCGCGGGCAGCAGCAGGAGCAAGGCAGCUGAUGCUACACCACACGAGUGUUUGCUGAGGCUGCAAACUGCUGAGCUGCGCUGCUCAGACGCCAGUGGGACGUGGGGGCCGGUGGCUCAAACAGGUGGCAGUGGCAAAGACCAAAAAACAAAGAAAAACAGCGGCUUUUAUGGAGGGGGGGGUGGAAUCCCGGGAGGAGAUGGUCUAACAAAUCAAUGGCUAGAUAGGAGGGGUCUAUGGGGACAAAUGUAAACAUAACAUGGAGUGGGAAAGUCACAUACCAGUGGCAGAAAGGAAAAAUCAUAACUGACAGUGAAUUUUCUGGAUAAAAGGGUGUAAAAAAUCAUGACAGACAAGCCACAGGGGCAGGAUUUUUGAGGAUAGACAGGGAAAAAUCUGAAGAUAUUAUAACUGCCACUGGGAGGCAGGUGGUAAACAACUUUUGGCACAGACUAAACAUAUGAUCUUCAAAUCCCCACUGCUAUAGGCAGGGAGAGACUAAACCUCUUCAAAUCCCCACUGCCACAAUUCCUUCUUUUUUGUUUAAUUUUUAUGAUAGCGUUAAGGGGAUUAUGGCAAUGGCAGUUAAUUAAACUUCAGAUUCUUCUCACUAUUGCUGAGGGGGAGAGGGUUUUUGGAGUUGGUAACACUUUUAACAAACAGUUUUUUACAAACACCAGUAACAACAGAAAUAAAAAACAGAAUUAAGACA
rnacentral:lncRNA from 1 species